CCGCUCUUUUGUGCAACAGGCUGUCCCUGGAUCUGUACGGUCGGAGGCCUUGCAUUGUUCAUGGCCGGUUGGCUCGCCAUUCUGCAUUCAGAGGCACCAAAGUAAUUGGAAAUCAUUAGGCAUCAAGACUUUGUGGAAAAGGAAUAUGGAUAUACCUAUCCUUGAUGGAAGCAGCCAUGGCCAUGAAAGCCUGUUCCACGUUCAUGGAAUCUUUUGCGCUGGUUUCCAUAAAAGGUAUGCCGACUUCAUCUGCAAACGCCUGAAGGAAGAAAAGCAGCCAUAUGGAAGAAUGGAUGAAAAUGCAGCAAAACACCAACAAUUAGAAUUUGUAGAUCAUGGUGCCACUACCAUAAAUAAUCUGGCUGCAGAGGUUCUCCUCAAAAGAAAAUAAUUUACGCUUAACACGUGAAACUAGCAUAAUACCUUAGCAGCCUUGUAUGACAAGACUUUGUUUUCUAUAAGAUCGCACUUGUUUCCAACCAGUAGUUUGUUAACAGUAUCACUAGCAUAACGAUCAAUUUCAUUCAGCCACUGCUUGACAUUGUUGAAGCUUUCUUGGUCUGUCACAUCAUAAACAACCUAAUAAGGGAGCCACCAGUAAAUGGGAAAGAAAAAGAUAUAAGAAAAGAUGUUUAUGAGAAGCAUAAAUAAGCAGUGGAAGCCACAAAAAUGGAACUGAAAGGAGAAAAACUAGAAAGGAAAAGAUCACCCACAAUUAUGCCAUGAGCCCCACGGUAGUAGCUGCUAGUGAUUGUCCUAAAUCAUUCUUGUCCAGCAGUGUCCCACUGUACAUUUAACCAAAGAGCAAACUAACUAGUAAAACGCAAAGUUAAACUGAAAACACACAGAAAUGUUAAACAAAAAAAGGAAAAAAGGAAA